rnacentral:rRNA from 1 species
GGAUGAACGCUAGCUACAGGCUUAACACAUGCAAGUCAGGGGCAGCAUUAUCGAAGCUUGCUUUGAUAGAUGGCGACCGGCGCACGGGUGAGUAACGCGUAUCCAACCUUCCCCAUAGUAGGGCAUAGCCCGUAGAAAUGCGGAUUAAUACCCUAUGUAUUCCGAGGAUGACAUCUGAUUCGGAACAAAGGUUCACCGCUAUGGGAUGGGGAUGCGUCUGAUUAGGUAGUAGGCGGGGUAACGGCCCACCUAGCCGACGAUCAGUAGGGGUUCUGAGAGGAAGGUCCCCCACAUUGGAACUGAGACACGGUCCAAACUCCUACGGGAGGCAGCAGUGAGGAAUAUUGGUCAAUGGGCGAGAGCCUGAACCAGCCAAGUAGCGUGCAGGAAGACGGCCCUAUGGGUUGUAAACUGCUUUUAUACAGGGAUAAAGUCGGGGACGUGUUCCCCGUUUGCAGGUACUGUAUGAAUAAGGACCGGCUAAUUCCGUGCCAGCAGCUGC